rnacentral:rRNA from 1 species
AGUGGGCCCUAAAGCAGCCACCUUUUAAAAAGCGUUAAAGCUUUAUUUAAUUUUCUAUAAAAAUUCCACUAAUUAUCUGUAACCCUCAACCUGUACUGAAUGAUUUCAUAAUUUUAUGAAAACCUAUAUGUUAGAACUAGUAACAAGAAGGAAGCCCUUCUCCAAAAAUGUAAGCAUGAACCAAAAUGAACCACUCAUUGGUAUUUAAAGUUAAUAAACCUCAAGUAGCAACUUAACAAGAAAAAACUAUUUAUUAUAGCGUCAAUCUUACACCAGCACAUUUCCGGAAAGAUUAAAAGAAUGGGAAGGAACUCGGCAAACAACUGACCUCGCCUGUUUACCAAAAACAUCGCCUCCUGCAUUUUAUAGGAGGUCCAGCCUGCCCAGUGACAAAGUUAAACGGCCGCGGUACCCUAACCGUGCAAAGGUAGCGCAAUCAUUUGUUCUUUAAAUGAGGACUAGUAUGAAUGGCAUCACGAAGGUUAUGCUGUCUCCCCACUCUAUUCAGUGAAACUGAUCUCCCCGUGAAGAAGCGGGGAUAAAAUUAUAAGACGAGAAGACCCCAUGGAGCUUUAAACUCAGUAACAACUGUUAUUUUUAAGCCUGAUAUUUAUGCAGCCAUGAUUACUAGUUUUCGGUUGGGGUGACCACGGAGUAAAACCUAACCUCCACGAUGAAAGGAAGUACAAACCUAAAUCAAGAGCGACAGCUCCAAAUAUCAACAAAUUGACUAAAUUGACCCAAUUACUUGAUCAACGAACUAAGUUACCCUGGGGAUAACAGCGCAAUCCAUUUCAAGAGCUCAUAUCGACAAAUGGGUUUACGACCUCGAUGUUGGAUCAGGGUAUCCCAGUGGCGCAGUCACUACUAACGGUUC